GGGCCCGUAGUAUAGCGGUAACACGGCUCCAUGGCAUGGAGCAGUCCGGGGUUCAACUCCCCGCGGGUCCACCA
rnacentral:tRNA from 1 species